GCUUCAGACAGUUUGUUUCUAAUGGGUCAAAGCCAACAACAACCAAAAUAACAUUGAUGUGCGCAUGGGGAAAGGUCAGCGAAGGCCAGAGUACUCAAAGCAGACAAGGGACAAGAGGAUGUCUGGCCAUGUGGAAGACCUACAAAUAACACCAGGUUUCCCAGGAGUUGGAUGAUGAGACAAAUUCAGUCUUUGACAAAAGAGCUUUGGCCCUGCAUCCAUCCAUCUGAUCCAUGGAAAGAUUUUAGUGUUCUAGCUUCUAAUCAUCA